AUAAACAAACUAGUACCGUAUAGGCAGCAUUAAGCUAAUUGUCAGUAACAACGAGUAUUCCCAUAUAUAUCCUGUAAGUCUUAAGUUAUUUGUUUGUUGUUUGUUCUGUGUGGAUUUGAUGAGUUAAGCCUUAUUCGUAGUUUGUUCUUAUGUUUUUGCUGCUACACUACUGUCCAAGGAAAUGCAAGGGUUGGGUGCCCACACAAAUCUUUAAUCAUACCUG
rnacentral:lncRNA from 1 species